CAGGGAGACAACAAAAUGUUUAAUAUUAUUAUUUUGUCACCUUAGGUCGAUCGGUAUCUCACGUUCUUAAUUUGUUAAGAAUUUCAUUUCCUAAGUUUUUCUAGGUCACACCCAUUAUUUUUCCUGGGCCAUUAGCUCAGGUGGUUAGAGCGCACCCCUGAUAAGGGUGAGGUCCCUGGUUCAAGUCCAGGAUGGCCCAUAUCUCUAUGUUGGGGGUAUAGCUCAGUUGGUAGAGCGCCUGCUUUGCAAGCAGGAUGUCAGCGGUUCGAGUCCGCUUACCUCCACUGAUUACCACCUCUUACAUAACUGGUAAAAAGGAAAUGUUUUGAGUUGUGAUCAUUAUUCUGAACGAAUCUAGCUUCCUAAUGAAAUCAUUAAGAUGCUGGAUUCAUUGAAUUAAUUUCAUUGUUUUCAGGGAACCUUGACAACUGCAUAGAUUAUUUUUUAAAGACAAUAAGCAUCUUUAAUGAUGCAGAUUUAUUAUUUGUGCGAAUGCAUUAAUAACAAUUCUAUUAAGCUGAUGCUUCAAUUUUUUGAAGUUAUU
rnacentral:tRNA from 1 species